rnacentral:lncRNA from 1 species
GCUUGCGAAAAUGGAGCAAAUCCCAUCAUUGGAAGCCUCGAACCGCCUUGUUGCUCGAGGUAUUCAUCGAAUUCGCGAUCCAUUACAAGCAAAAUGUAGAAGAGAGAAUUGUUGUUGGGAUUAAAAAAAUUUUAAAGAGAGAAUUGUAGUUGAGAAAGUGGUGAAUUUGAUAUUGUGGAAGAGUGGUAUUUAUAGAAGGGAAAAAA